UUUGACCAAAUCAGAUACUUGCUCCGUACCGCUAAAACCCUAAAUCCUGUCCUCUGCAUUGUUACAUUUUCCAAGUUUGCAAUUUCUAUUAACAAGUUUUUCAAUUCUCUAUCUCCGUCAAGAAAUUUUCUUUCUAAUGGCUUCAACUUGCAAUAGAUUCAUCAGCAGAUCAUCGUCCUCUAUUAAAUCCGCCUUCAGAUCCAACGGUCCAAGAUCCCUACUUUCCAGAUCCGCCGCUUCUCCCUCCUCCGCACGAUCACCUCUCCCCUCCCAAUCCAUCCCUCCCCUUCGCCGUUUCUCAUUGUCCAGGUGUCCAUCGGAGCUGGGAUGUGCGCAGUCACUGUUGCCGCUGCACAGUGCAGUGGCGGCGUCAAGGAUGACGUCAUGCCUGAGCACAACAUCGAGGAGUUGCCGGGCACUUUCUCAGGGUACACUCUGCUGCACCUAUCCCGGCCUCUAGUACUGUUUUAUCUGUUUUUUUUAUUGCACAUAAAUUCAAUAUGCUUGAAAGAAAUAAAGUGGGAAUUUACAGUGACAGGCCCAUCUUCAUUCUCAAAGUUUGGUCUAGCAGUUCCAAGGUGACUUGUUAGAGAUCAUGAUUAUGAUGAGGAGUUUUCAAAUGGACUGAAGCAGCAAGGACCUGUAGAUUAUUAUUCGAAAAAGGUUGUCAUUUCUUUGAAUACUCUUGAACCCUUAACAGCAGUGAAGCUGAUUUGAUUCUUACAAGCUAUGAGAUUUGUUUUCUCUAAGAGUCUGAAAUAAAAAUGCAGUAGUCUUGUUUGACUCGUUCGUUUAUGCCUAACAAACUAAAGCAUCAGAAUCUUCUACA